rnacentral:rRNA from 1 species
GAUGAACGCUGGCGGCGUGCCUAAUACAUGCAAGUCGAGCGAAUGGAUUAAGAGCUUGCUCUUAUGAAGUUAGCGGCGGACGGGUGAGUAACACGUGGGUAACCUGCCCAUAAGACUGGGAUAACUCCGGGAAACCGGGGCUAAUACCGGAUAACAUUUUGAACCGCAUGGUUCGAAAUUGAAAGGCGGCUUCGGCUGUCACUUAUGGAUGGACCCGCGUCGCAUUAGCUAGUUGGUGAGGUAACGGCUCACCAAGGCAACGAUGCGUAGCCGACCUGAGAGGGUGAUCGGCCACACUGGGACUGAGACACGGCCCAGACUCCUACGGGAGGCAGCAGUAGGGAAUCUUCCGCAAUGGACGAAAGUCUGACGGAGCAACGCCGCGCGAGUGGUGAAGGCUUUCGGGUCGUAAAACUCUGUUGUUAGGGAAGAACAAGUGCUAGUUGAAUAAGCUGACACCUUGACGGUACCUAACCAGAAAGCCACGGCUAACUACGUGCCAGCCGCCGCGGUAA